UUUAAAUACCUGCCCCCGACGUCGUCGCGUCCUCUUGGAAUUUGCUGCCAUCUUUGGAAGACACAUCUUCCCAGGAUGCGAGCCAAGUGGAGAAAGAAGCGUAUGCGCAGGCUGAAGCGCAAAAGGAGAAAGAUGAGGCAGAGGUCUAAAUAGAGCACAUCUCCACAGCUACUGGAGCCUGGCUGUGACCUGAGCAGGGACCACUGAGCUCGGAGCCCUGAGCAGGACCCCCUCACGAGGACCGCUGUGCCCGGACGGGGGACCCCCAUUAAACUGCCUGUGUGCCGGAGACACCCCCUUGAGACUGGAGGAGCAUGGAAAGAGCAGCCCUUCUGUGGAUCCCAGUGGACUCUGUUCAUUCCCAGUCUGAUGCAGUAGCUUUGUACAAAAAUAAAGAACUUUUUUUGGUUUGAAACCA